rnacentral:tRNA from 1 species
GCGCCGCAUGGCUAAGUGGUUACGGCGUCCCGCUCGUAACGGGAAGAUCGUCGGUUCGACUCCGACUGCGCGCA